UGCGUAGGCGGAUUAAUAAGUCAGUGGUGAAAUCUUUCGGCUCAACCGAGAAACUGCCAUUGAUACUGUUAAUCUUGAGUUCGGUUGAGGUAGGCGGAAUGUGUAAUGUAGCGGAGAAAUGCUUAGAUAUUACACAGAACACCAAUUGCGUAGGCAGCUUACUAGACCGACACUGACGCUGAGGCACGAAAGCGUGGGGAGCGAACAGGAUUAGAUACCCUGGUAGUCC
rnacentral:rRNA from 1 species